rnacentral:rRNA from 1 species
GAGGGUGCAAGCGUUACUCGGAAUCACUGGGCGUAAAGAGUGCGCAGGCGGGCUAAUAAGUCAGAUGUGAAAUCCUAUAGCUUAACUAUAGAACUGCAUUUGAAACUAUUAGUCUAGAGUGUGGGAGAGGUAGGUGGAAUUCUUGGUGUAGGGGUAAAAUCCGUAGAGAUCAAGAGGAAUACUCAUUGCGAAGGCGACCUACUGGAACAUUACUGACGCUCAUGCACGAAAGCGUGGGGAGC